rnacentral:rRNA from 1 species
GACGUAGGGGGCGAGCGUUAUUCGGAAUUAUUGGGCGUAAAGCGCUCGUAGGCGGAGCAGGAAGUCUGUGAAGAAAGACCUGGGCUCAACUCAGGGAACGGCACGGAUACUCUUGCCCUUGAGGCAAUCAGAGGGUGAUGGAAUUCCCGGUGUAGCGGUGAAAUGCGUAGAUAUCGGAAAGAACACCAAGGGCGAAGGCACUCUGCUGGGCCGAAACUGACACUGAGAGACGAGAGCUAGGGGAGCAAAUGGG